UGCAAGUCGAACGGCAGCACGGGUGCUUGCACCUGGUGGCGAGUGGCGAACGGGUGAGUAAUACAUCGGAACAUGUCCUGUAGUGGGGGAUAGCCCGGCGAAAGCCGGAUUAAUACCGCAUACGAUCUACGGAUGAAAGCGGGGGACCUUCGGGCCUCGCGCUAUAGGGUUGGCCGAUGGCUGAUUAGCUAGUUGGUGGGGUAAAGGCCUACCAAGGCGACGAUCAGUAGCUGGUCUGAGAGGACGACCAGCCACACUGGGACUGAGACACGGCCCAGACUCCUACGGGAGGCAGCAGUGGGGAAUUUUGGACAAUGGGCGAAAGCCUGAUCCAGCAAUGCCGCGUGUGUGAAGAAGGCCUUCGGGUUGUAAAGCACUUUUGUCCGGAAAGAAAUCCGUGGCUCUAAUACAGUCGGGGGAUGACGGUACCGGAAGAAUAAGCACCGGCUAACUACGUGCCAGCA
rnacentral:rRNA from 1 species